rnacentral:rRNA from 1 species
GGUUGCGAUCAUACCAGCACUAAUGCACGGAUCCCAUCAGAACUACGCAGAUAAGCGUGCUUGGGCGAGAGUAGUACUAGGAUGGGUGACCCCCUGGGAAGUCCUCGUGUUGCAACCCC